UCUGCCUUUCAGAGUCUUAUACCAGAGUCUCUGGGUGUGUGGCAUGAACACACUGGACCCAUCGAAAGCAGCAAGAUGGUGACUCCAUCACAGCUUCUUGGCCUUCUGCUCCUCUGGGUUCCAGCCUCUCAUGGCGAGAUUGUCCUGACCCAGUCUCCUGCCGUCCUGUCCAUGGCUCCAAAAGAAAGAGUCACCAUCACCUGCCAGGCCAGUCAGAACAUUAACAAGUGGUUAGCCUGGUAUCAUCAGGAGCCAGGGAGAGCUCCUAAGCUCCUCAUCUAUGAGGCAUCCAAGUUGAUAACUGGGGUCCCAUCACAGUUCAGCGGCAGUGGGUCUGGGACAGACUUCACUCUCACCAUCAGCAGCCUGGAGCCUGAAGAUGCUGGGACCUACUAUUGCCUGCAGUCUAACAGCUACCCGCCCACAGUGUUACAGGUGCUGAUGGAAGGCACUGAAUCCUCCUCUUCUGACCUUCAGAUCUAGGCUUGCCAUGAGAAUGAUGUGCCAUGGGUAGUCUCCACACACUGUCUUGGCCCCAGAUCAACCACAAUCCAUAGACUGGAGAACCGUGUAUCUCCCUGCAGAAGAACCACACAGCUGAUCCCUGUGCAUUAUCCAAAUAAUUGUCAACGUGAACAUCCAUGACUAUAGGAACAAAUGCUUAGUAUAAGAAGCCACUGAGUUUUUGAAUGGUUUGUUAAAACAGUGUGUAAAAUCUGACUAGUAUAGUUUUUACAUAUCUCUGCAUAGAAAUUGACAGUUUUAUUAAACAUGAUGGCAUAAAAAGGA